ACCAGCACGUUAUGGUGGGCGACUCUAAAGGAGACUGCCGGUGGACAAACCGGAGGAAGGUGGGGAUGACGUCAAGUCAUCAUGGCCCUUACGGCCUGGGCUACACACGUGCUACAAUGGUCGGUACAAAGGGUUGCCAAGCCGCGAGGUGGAGCUAAUCCCAUAAAACCGAUCGUAGUCCGGAUCGCAGUCUGCAACUCGACUGCGUGAAGUCGGAAUCGCUAGUAAUCGUGAAUCAGAAUGUCACGGUGAAUACGUUCCCGGGCCUU
rnacentral:rRNA from 1 species